UUUUUUUAAUUUUUUUGUGAAUUAUACAAUUUCGAAAUUCAAACCCUAAACCCUAAAACUCAACUCUAAACCCUAAACCAUCAAUCCUAAACCCUAUUUUUUUUGAAAUACGAACCCUAAACCCUAAACCAUGAAACAUCAACUCUAAACCCUAAACCCCGAAACAUCAACUCUAAACCCUAAACCCUAAACCUUCAACACGAAACCCUAAAACAUCAACUUUAAACCCUAAACCCUAAACUUCAACACUAAACCCUAAACAUCAACACUAAACCCUAAACUAUCAACACUAAACCCUAAACCCUAAAAAAUUAACCCUAAACCCUAAAAAAUUAACCCUAAACCCUAAAACAUCAACUCUAAACCCUAAACUUUCAACUCUAAACCCUAAACCUAAAUCCUAAACUCUAAACCCUAAACCCUAAAACCCUAGAGUUGAUGUUUUAGGGUUUAGAUUUGAAGAUUUAAGGUUUAGGGUUUACCUUUAGGGUUUAGAGUUGAUGUUUUAGGGUUUAGAUUUGAAGGUUUAGGGUUUUAGGGUUUAGGGUUCGAAUUUCAGAAAAAUAUAAGGUUUAGGGUUUAGGGUUUACGUUUAGGGUUUAGAGUUGAUGUUUCAUGGUUUAGGGUUUAGUGUUGAUGAUUUAGGGUUUAAAGUUGAUGUUUUAAGUUUAGAUUUAGGGUUUAGGGUUUACGUUUAGGAUUUAGAGUUGAUGUUUUAGGGUUUAGAUUUGAAGUUUUAGAGUUUAGGGUUUAGAGUUGAUGUUUUGGGGUUUAGGGUUUAGAGUUGAUGUUUCAUGGUUUAGGGUUUAGAGUUGAUGAUUUAGGGUUUAGAGUUGAUGUAUUAAGUUUAGAUUAGUUAACCAUAUGCUUUUUCUUGUCAAAGGUAAUCAAAAGGUUAUAAAUGUCUUUUACCCUUCAUUAAAAAUGAGGGUAAAAGUGGUUAGUGUAAACAUGAAAAAUGGUAUUUUGAAAAUGGUAUUUUUGGCUAUUUCCCUUUAGUUUAAACGUAGUCUCAUUCAUCAAAGAGGAUAUUUUGUAAACU
rnacentral:lncRNA from 1 species